ACCAGUUGGGAGCAUCAACUCGCUUCACUUAAGGACCUCUUUAAUCACAAUUGGCUGAAACCCAGACUCAAAUCGCCGAUCCUCAGCGGUGCCGGCACGGCAGCACAGCCCCAGAGCCUCCACUCGGUACCAUCUUUUUUACAGACUCAAAGGCGGCAAAGGCUUGAGCUUCUGUGAAUGUUUUCUCGGCGUCUAUUUUUUAAAGCUAUUUUACGGCUAAGCGUCGUGCAAGUCAAGUAGCCUCGCCGUGCCCGUCGCUGGGCCAGCCCAGCGGUCUCCCAGCACACUCGCUCGAUCGCUCUCUCUCCUCACCCACCAUCGCUCGCUACCGCUCCACAUCUACAGAUCUGCCUCGAGCAGAGCAGCGCCGCGGAGCGAGGCUCAUCCACCCCACGCAGCCGCGGGGCGCCGCGCUUUUGGAUCCGACGCCGUUUUGAAGUUAAAAUAAACUUUCAUGGUUUAAGAGUCUCAAACUUUUACCCCCAAAUGCUUGUUGAAGCGCGCCUGCGUCGACUGAACUUCCAGAUAUCACCACCGCGUGAGAUGAAUGCGCCGAGCAGAGACGCAGCCGGAGGCGCGAGACGAGAGGUGACAAACGUCGCACGCUCGUGUGCAGAUGCGGGGAGCUCGCCGCCGUGAAUGCGAUGCGCCUUUAAGGAUAUCAAGUGAUACACAAUUACGUGCAACUCCUACGAGGCUUUUUGGAGAACAUCUGCUACAGCACCAGCCACUGCUGGAUGAAGGCCUCUCCAAACUGCCACCAUCUCUCACGGUAUUGAGAAGCAACACUUUACCCAACACCUUCAAGACAAGGUCUUUUGCCGAGAUAAAAACUUGAUUUUCUAGCCCAUGCCCCCAUCCACUGGUCGCUUAGUGUUAACUAUGAGCAUAUGCCACAAGGGAUCGUAACAUCCUCAUUCCAUGAACCCAAGAGAAACCAAUGUGGAAAAUAUGGGAGGGGGGGCGGUGAGAAAGAAGACUGACACCUAAACAAAGCAGUGGAUACGACUCAACAUGUACCUGUAAAUAAACAGAAGAGGAGGUAUGAGAACAGAACCAACACAUCCAACUUACCUGAGCAAAGGGAUGAACCCAGACACAACUUCCCCAGUGAUUAGAGUAGUUUAAUGUAGGGAUGUAUGGGAGGGAGACCAGUGGACAGGUAGUAUGACCUCAAAAAACAAGAUUUUACCCAGGCUCAAAAACCUCAUUUUAUCUUCGUCUAUGCUGCUGGACACUAUUAGCAAUCAUACCAAAGGUCGUAACUGGCGGAGGGACAGGUCACUCCUCGAAUGACAGAAGACAGAACUGUUCUCCCAAAGGGAGCAUCCUGCAAAGUCAAGAUGUCCAAGCCUGUAGUUUCUGGAACAUGUAUGCGGUGACCUCCAAUGACACGUUGAAUGUCCUGGCCCAUGAUACCCCCACUGCUCUUGUGGAAUGAGCCCUUAACACAUCAGGUGAAUCCUUUCUGGCGAGAGUGUAGCAGUGUCUAAUGCACUCCUUUGGCCAUCCAGAAAUUCAGACGUUUCAGGCCACAUUUCAUCUGACAGCGUUCCUAUACAGGACAAACAGCCACUGUGAUCCUCACCAAACCAGCACCUGUUCUGAAAAUCCCAGGUAAGUGAACCUUACCCUUUGAACGUCCAUGCAGUCAAAGGGAAACGCCUGACGUCUGGGAAACACCCUCUGCCCCACCACAGUAGGUCCCUCUCAACUGGGAGGGUCAGUGAGUGGCCUAUUAUAAACUGCAGGAGAUCUGAAUACCAAUGUUAACCCGGUCCAAUGCGAGGAAAACAAGUGUUGUCCGGCCCAAUGAAAGGCAAGCAACAUAACUAAUGCCCUGCCCUCAUCCUGACCACCACUCGUGUUGCCGCAGCAAGUGAGAUAUGAUUUCUGGCAAACCCGGAUAGGAAAAUUAUGUAAGGCCAUAUGCACUGCUCCGAGUUACUGGAGAAUGAGGCUCCCUUCAGUGUGCGGUAGCCAUUUGCCCUGCACUAGAAUACCCUGCAGGUGAGCUACCCACUCCCAUGCGCUCGCAUCACUCCAGAGGAUGAGGUCUGGUGGAGGGCCUCCCAAUGGUCGACGAUUCUUCAGAUUUUUUCAUGCUGUCCACCAAGGGAGGCUCUCAACCGACUGUUCGGUCAAUAUGACCCACUAAUUGAAUGUCGUGAAUAGGGUCCCAAUAGAACAGCAGAACCCACUGAAGCAGCCUCAUAUAAAGGCCCGACCAGGGCAACAAUUAUGUUGUUGAGGCCACAGGUCUGAGUUGCAGAUCUUUGGAGUGCUGGCUGAGGAGCGCCUUUUUGUCUGGCAGACACAUUUGGCACUCAUCCACCGAGAUGUCGACUCUGAGGUGGUAAGGUCGUUGGGUUGGAUACAGUGAGGGAAAAAAGUAUUUGAUCCCCUGCUGAUUUUGUACGUUUGCCCAC